CGACGGGAAUUGAACCCGCGCAUGGUGGAUUCACAAUCCACUGCCUUGAUCCACUUGGCUACAUCCGC
rnacentral:tRNA from 2 species